AAAAAUUAGAGUGUUCAAAGCAGGCAGAUCCAAUUCUCUGCCACCGAAUACAUUAGCAUGGGAUAAUGGAAUAGGACCCUGUCCUCCUAUUUUCAGUUGGUUUUGGCAGCGCGAGGACUAGGGUAAUGAUUAAUAGGGAUAGUUGGGGGCAUUAAUAUUUAAUUGUCAGAGGUGAAAUUCUUGGAUUUAUGAAAGAUUAACUUCUGCGAAAGCAUCUGCCAAGGAUGUUUUCAUUAAUCAAGAACGAAAGUUAGGGGAUCGAAGACGAUCAGAUACCGUCGUAGUCUUAACCAUAAACGAUGCCGACCAGCGAUUAGGAGACGUUGAAUACAAAACACCACCAUCGGUGCGGUCGUUCUUGGCGUCGGUCUUUCGGCCGGCGCGGGGACGGCUUAGCCCGGUGGCACCGGUGAA
rnacentral:rRNA from 1 species